AUUGAAGACAGCUUCAAUGAACCCGAAGAGUUUGAAGACUUCACUGUGGCCACUUUGGAGCCAGUGAGGACCUUCACAGUCUCUUCAACGUCAUCCUUGGCACCCACCAGCAGUCUGUCAGCUCCAGACCCUCAGCCUGGCCCCUCUUGGUCUCCUCCUCCUCCUGAGGGUCCUUCAACGAGUGCGACACACUCAGCGCCUGGACCUACAUCACCAUCUCCCUCUUCAUCACCUUCCGCCACCACCUCUGUUCCCCCUUGUGUCUUAUCCCCCGCUGAACAGAGCACCUCCAAAACAGAUCUGCCAGCAACCCCUCAACAGUUGGACUCUUCAUGUGACGAUUCUGUCGGCCCUGACAACGUGGAGGGUUAUGGGGCCGUGCAGGAGCUGGCUGAUUUCUUGGUCGGCCUCCGGCACAAUAACCUUGUGGUGACUGCAGAGGAGUCAAACCGGAUCGUUUCCCUGUGGCAGUCAUUGGGGGAUUAUGACAAACAAAAAACGGUUUACUCCCAGCGUCACCAAGCCCACCUGAAGCAGGGUAGAUUUAGAGCAACCAAAAAAAUUGUAGCCCCCGGCGUCAAAG